AGGAAUAUUGGUCAAUGGACGAGAGUCUGAACCAGCCAAGUAGCGUGAAGGAUGAAGGUUCUAUGGAUUGUAAACUUCUUUUAUACGGGAAUAAACGAAUCCACGCGUGGAUUUUUGCAUGUACCGUAUGAAUAAGGAUCGGCUAACUCCGUGCCAGCAGCCGCGGUAAUACGGAGGAUCCGAGCGUUAUCCGGAUUUAUUGGGUUUAAAGGGAGCGUAGAUGGGUUGUUAAGUCAGUUGUGAAAGUUUGCGGCUCAACCGUAAAAUUGCAAUUGAUACUGGCAGUCUUGAGUACAGUUGAAGUAGGCGGAAUUCGUGGUGUAGCGGUGAAAUGCUUAGAUAUCACGAAGAACUCCGAUUGCGAAGGCAGCUUACUAACCUGUAACUGACAUUGAUGCUCGAAAGUGUGGGUAUCAAACAGGAUUAGAUACCCUGGUAGUCCACACGGUAAACGAUGAAUACUCGCUGUAGGCGAUAUACGGUCUGCGGCCAAGCGAAAGCAUUAAGUAUUCCACCUGGGGAGUACGCCGGCAACGGUGAAACUCAAAGGAAUUGACGGGGGCCCGCACAAGCGGAGGAACAUGUGGUUUAAUUCGAUGAUACGCGAGGAACCUUACCCGGGCUUAAAUUGCAACCGAAUAUGGCGGAAACGCCAUAGCUAGCAAUAGCGGUUGUGAAGGUGCUGCAUGGUUGUCGUCAGCUCGUGCCGUGAGGUGUCGGCUUAAGUGCCAUAACGAGCGCAACCCUUGCCGAUAGUUACUAACAGGUUAUGCUGAGGACUCUGUCGGGACUGCCAUCGUAAGAUGUGAGGAAGGUGGGGAUGACGUCAAAUCAGCACGGCCCUUACGUCCGGGGCUACACACGUGUUACAAUGGGGGGUACAGAGGGCUGCUACCACGCAAGUGGAUGCCAAUCCCAAAAACCUCUCUCAGUUCGGAUUGAAGUCUGCAACCCGACUUCAUGAAGCUGGAUUCGCUAGUAAUCGCGCAUCAGCCACGGCGCGGUGAAUACGUUCCCG
rnacentral:rRNA from 1 species